rnacentral:ribozyme from 13 species
AAACAAUCAAAGGUUUAUUAUUAACAGAUUGUAAAUGUUCCACAAGAUCUCUCUAUCUAUUCUCUCUUUUUCUACUCUUUCUCUUUCUCUCAUUUUUGUGUACCUGGAUUUUGUAGAGGGAAACGAGGAG